rnacentral:rRNA from 1 species
GACGAACGCUGGCGGCGUGCCUAAUACAUGCAAGUAGAACGCUGAAGGAGGAGCUUGCUUCUCUGGAUGAGUUGCGAACGGGUGAGUAACGCGUAGGUAACCUGCCUGGUAGCGGGGGAUAACUAUUGGAAACGAUAGCUAAUACCGCAUAAUGGUAGAUGUUGCAUGACAUUUGCCUAAAAGGUGCAAUUGCAUCACUACCAGAUGGACCUGCGUUGUAUUAGCUAGUUGGUGGGGUAACGGCUCACCAAGGCGACGAUACAUAGCCGACCUGAGAGGGUGAUCGGCCACACUGGGACUGAGACACGGCCCAGACUCCUACGGGAGGCAGCAGUAGGGAAUCUUCGGCAAAGGACGGAAGUCUGACCGAGCAACGCCGCGUGGGUGAAGAAGGUUUUCGGAUCGUAAAGCUCUGUUGUAAGAGAAGAACGAGUGUGAGAGUGGAAAGUUCACACUGUGACGGUAUCUUAUCAGAAAGGGACGGCUAACUACGUG